CAGUAGCCGCGGUAAUACGAGGGGGGCAAGCGUUGUUCGGAAUUAUUGGGCGUAAAGGGUGCGUAGGCGGUUCAGCAAGUCUCGUGUGAAAUCUUCGGGCUCAACCCGAAGUCUGCACGGGAAACUACUGGGCUUGAGUAAUGGAGAGGUGAGUGGAAUUUCCGGUGUAGCGGUGAAAUGCGUAGAUAUCGGAAGGAACACCUGUGGCGAAAGCGGCUCACUGGACCAUUUCUGACGCUGAUGCACGAAAGCUAGGGGAGCAAACAGGAUUAGAUACCCCCGUAGUCCCUGUCUCUUAUAC
rnacentral:rRNA from 1 species